rnacentral:rRNA from 1 species
UACAGAGGUCUCAACCGUUGUUCGGAUUACUGGGCGUAAAGGGCGCGUAGGCGGCCAGCGCAAGUCAGUUGUGAAAUCUCCGGGCUUAACUCGGAAAGGUCAACUGAUACUGCGCGGCUAGGAGUGCAGAAGGGGCAACUGGAAUUCUCGGUGUAGCGGUGAAAUGCGUAGAUAUCGAGAGGAACACCUGCGGCGAAGGCGGGUUGCUGGGCUGACACUGACGCUGAGGCGCGAAAGCCAGGGGAGCGAACGGG